CAUAACCCUCAUCAGAUCCAGUCUCUGUUCACAAGAGGUUCACCUCUGCCCUUUCACCCCAUUAUAAACCACACGGGUUUCAGUGAAUAUUGAUCUUUCCUUAGAAGGGGUCACAAGGAUACGAAACCAACAGAGAGACAGGUAGACAGACAGACAGGUAGGUAGACAGACAGGUAGACAGACAGGUAGACAGACAGACAGGUAGGUAGACAGACAGGUAGGUAGACAGACAGACAGGUAGGUAGACAGACAGACAGGUAGACAGACAGACAGGUAGGUAGACAGACAGACAGGUAGGUAGACAGACAGACAGGUAGACAGACAGGUAGGUAGACAGACAGGUAGGUAGGUAGGUAGACAGACAGGUAGGUAGACAGACAGGUAGGUAGACAGACAGACAGGUAGGUAGGUAGACAGACAGGUAGGUAGACAGACAGGUAGACAGACAGACAGGUAGGUAGACAGACAGGUAGGUAGACAGACAGACAGGUAGGUAGGUAGGUAGGUAGACAGACAGGUAGGUAGACAGACAGGUAGGUAGACAGACAGGUAGACAGACAGACAGGUAGGUAGACAGACAGGUAGGUAGACAGACAGGUAGGUAGACAGACAGACAGGUAGGUAGACAGACAGACAGGUAGGUAGACAGACAGGUAGGUAGACAGACAGGUAGACAGACAGACAGGUAGGUAGACAGACAGACAGGUAGGUAGACAGACAGGUAGGUAGACAGACAGGUAGACAGACAGGUAGACAGACAGAUAGGUAGACAGACAGGUAGGUAGACAGACAGGUAGACAGACAGACAGGUAGACAGACAGACAGGUAGACAGACAGAUAGGUAGACAGACAGGUAGGUAGACAGACAGGUAGGUAGACAGACAGACAGACAGACAGGUAGGUAGACAGACAGGUAGGUAGACAGACAGGUAGGUAGACAGACAGGUAGGUAGACAGACAGGUAGGUAGACAGACAGGUAGACAGACAGACAGGUAGGUAGACAGACAGACAGGUAGACAGACAGACAGGUAGACAGACAGGUAGGUAGACAGACAGGUAGGUAGACAGACAGGUAGGUAGACAGACAGAUAGGUAGACAGACAGGUAGGUAGACAGACAGGUAGGUAGACAGACA